CCUACGGGCGGCAGCAGUGAGGAAUAUUGGUCAAUGGGCGCAAGCCUGAACCAGCCAAGUCGCGUGAGGGAUGACGGUCCUAUGGAUUGUAAACCUCUUUUGUCGGGGAGCAAGGCCCGCCACGUGUGGCGGGAAGGAGAGUACCCGCAGAAAAAGCAUCGGCUAACUCCGUGCCAGCAGCCGCGGUAAUACGGAGGAUGCGAGCGUUAUCCGGAUUUAUUGGGUUUAAAGGGUGCGUAGGCGGAAGGUUAAGUCAGCGGUAAAAUGUCGGUGCUCAACACCGGCCUGCCGUUGAAACUGGUCUUCUUGAGUGAGCGAGAAGUAUGCGGAAUGCGUGGUGGAGCGGUGAAAUGCAUAGAUAUCACGCAGAACUCCGAUUGCGAAGGCAGCAUACCGGCGCUCAACUGACGCUGAGGCACGAAAGCGUGGGGAUCGAACAGGAUUAGAUACCCCAGUAGUC
rnacentral:rRNA from 1 species